rnacentral:lncRNA from 1 species
GUUUCUGUUGCUCCUUGAGGCCUUGAGCACCUACCUACCUCUAUAGGCUGAGAUGCUCCAUAGAAUGCCAUGUUCCCCAAAGCUCUUUGGUCCCCUUCCUAAAAGCAAAAAUCAGGAAUAAUGAGCCCUUAAUUUCACUACAAAAAUGAUUACAUCAUUGGAAUUUUGCUAUGUUUUUUGCAUGUGUUUUUAGUUUCUAGGUCAAAGUUAGCUGGGACACAACUCAUCUGACAGAUCAUUCAACCUAGUGCCACCCCCACAGGUCUUCUCUGUUGUCCUUCCUGUGAGUGUUUCCAGAAGUUUGUCUUCAUUGGGUUAAGACAGUAAGUAUUAAAGAAAGAAAACUUCCACGUGAUCAAACGCCUUCCUAAGAUUGUUCCACUUUAGAACCUCCAAGGUAGUGCACCUGCACAUCUUCAAGAACACAGUGGAGCCGUCGCCUAUUCAACUCUUAACCAUGGAAUUCAUUUUUUCAUGACAUCCAAACGAAGUAGUCUUUGAAAAUCAGCCAUUAUUUUAGGAAAUGCUGGUGUCUGCUAUUGUAGAAGAAAUGACACCAUCUCACGUGAUCAGCCUUUGAGAACUCUGCAAUCUUUGUGUCAUUGGAACUUGGCACACUGGUUAUCUUAGCUUGUAGCCAUCUAAAGAAUGUAAAUAAAUUUUAGGAAAAGCAAGAAACAGAUUUGGUUUCUAGGGAGAAAUAUUAUCAAAAGGAGAUCCAGAUUAUCAAAGAUCAAAUGCUGCAGUUGACAUAGCACCUGAUGUCAGCUGCAUCACAAUCUCACUUCAUGAUCCUUUAAACAAACCCCACAAGCAGGCACUUUUAGCAAUGAAGGACUGAGUUUGCACAGCCAGAAAACGCAACCACAGCAGAAAAAGAGGAGAGACAGAAUUUGCAACAACUCCUGAAACUUAGCAGUUUUUUUACCCCUUGGCUUCUAGACUUUUGUAUAAUCCAUCCAUUUUUCUUUUCGUUGGAAAAGUAGCUACUUGAUCAACACUCUCCAGAAACAGCCAUUGUGUUCUGAGCAGCAAGAAUCUUGCGAUUUCUUCUUUUUCUAAGAGCAUCCUUAAGCUCUCUAUUCCACAUGCUGUAGAUCAAGGGGUUCAGCCUGGGGUGUUGAAUGUGUAAACCAGACACUACAGACCCCUCUCAGGAGAGUAGCUGGAACCAGGGCAAAAGCUGAUGCGACUGUACAUCCAAACUGGAGGAGGAGCAGAGUCAGGCAGGAGGAACGGGUGAAGGUCUUGUGUCUCCCUCUGUAGAGCGGAUCUUCAGGAUGGCAGCCACGAUGGAGACAUAGGACAAAGUGACGAGCAGGAAGAGAUGGUGACGGUGGUGACACUGAUCAUAUAAUUUGCUUGAUAACUUAAUGCUUACAAAGUUUCAUUUAUAUUUCAUGUUAAUUUUAUAAUACUGUAAUGAAUACAUUGGGCAGUGAUUGAUAAUUGAUAUUAAUAAUUAAUAAUUCUUCAGAUGAUGAAACCACAAUUCACAGAAGUAAAUCAGCUUGUCCAUAUUUGCACAGCUGGUGGGUAGCUAAUCCGGGAUUUGAAACCAAGCCUUUGGCUUUAUAUUUCAUCCUUCUCCAGCAAUAUGGAUGACCAGCAAGAAGAGACCUUGGGUGUCAACGAGGGCCUACUUAAUGCUGAGUUACAGCCUGCCUGAUGCCUUUUGUUUAAACAGUUUUGAUAAAUAUCUAUCUCCUAUAAACCAGUUAGCCAGUAUGUUAUUUCCUUCACAUAGCUAAUGCCACUGAGAGUCAUUCCAUCAGGCUCAAAUAAUAAUUUUAUUUAUGAGUAAAUUGAAUCAGUACAUAAUGACAUUAUUUUGCAUUGUUCAAGUGUAAUUCCAUUAUGAUUCCAUUAUGAGUUGGAGCAUGCUAAUGGAUGUGUAGUGAAAUAAUAAAAACCAAUCCUGUCCAAGUCUUGUACAGUAAGUGUGAAAUAACAUGACUUGUUAUUUUUACAAAAUAUUUGUAUUCCAAUUCUCAGAUGGAAACUAUAAUCAGGAACUUUCUCUACUUUGAUUCCUAUGAAAUGCCUCUUGGGUAAAAUAAUAUUUGUUGAGCAAUUCUGGAAGACAUGCUGUCUAAUUAGGUGCUCAUGGUUUAGUUUUAUUACUUAAUAUCUCUUUAGAAUAUCAAAGAAUUUUAUCCUUUUAUUGAUUGUGAUGGGACAUGAGAACUACUUGAAGUGGCUCGCAUAUCAAUGUCACACCAUCAGCCUAUAUUGAAUUCGCCCCCAAAAAAUUCCUUUCAUAUUUUCUGUGCUUUGUGGUGAUUAAGGUCACAGGCUCUAGGGUGCAAUGUCUGCACCAGCACUUCAAUAGAUAGGUAAUGUCGCAAAAUUAUUUAACCACUCUGAGCUUCAAUUCUUUGUGUCUAAAUUGAUGAUAACGAUGGCACCUACCCCAUAAGACUUUGUGGUUAUCAAGUGAGAUACCAUGUACUAAGCAGCUAAAACAAUGUCUGGUACAUAGUUUAAUGCUUAACAAAUGAUAUCUAAUGUCAUUAUAAUUGUCAGUGUGUUAAUACAUAUGCUGUAUCCUCUUUUGAAAAUUAUAGGGAAAAGAUCCUUUUAAAUAUAAGCCCUAACCAAGAAAAAUAUGGUUGUGUAUUGUUACAUGAACUCUGUACUCUGUAAAUUUAAUUAUAUUGCCCUUGACUACUAGAAAGCUCAGACACCAGCAGACAGGUGAUUUCUACAAAACUGCAGAGAAGCUUUUUUAAAAAAAUUAUAAUUUUUAGUUGUAGAUGAGCAUAAUACCUUUGUCUUUUUAUUUAUUUUAGGUGGUAGUGAGGAUUGAACCCACUGCCUCACAUAUAGGAAGCAAGCACUGUACCACUGAGCUACAACCCCAUCCCGAGAAGCAUUUUUGCAUAGCAAUCUUGUUACUAUAUCUUUAUAGUCCUGUCUGAAUUUUUUAU